GACUGUUCUGGUGUCCUAAGUGGUUAGAGCAUCUGCCUCGGAUGCAGGAGGUCAUGAGUUCAAACCCCAGUUGAGUCA